GUUUUUAUGUUCUCACAGUCUGGAGAUCUGCCUGAGCAUUUACCCUGAGGGUAGUGGGCAUUUACUACAAAUAAAAUAAGUGCUUUUUAAACUCUUUUGGAAAAAAUUAAUCAGGAUGGAACUCUUUGUUUAAUUCAUACCCUUAUUCCUCCAGUGCAUCCUGCAGAAUAGUCCUGAAAAUUCUGCCUUUCCCUGUCUUCAUCUUCAGUAAGUUUAGUCAGUUCCUGAGGACACUACAAUUCCACCAUUAGGGGAAGGUGCAUAAAGUCCUGGAUUUUGGAAACAGAAGGAUUCAGCAUGUGUUCUCCUGGAGUGAAGAAUGGAGAGGUAGACUUCUUGGAAGCUUGAAGAAUUGAAGGAUUACCAAUGUGUGUUCCUCAAGGCAGGGCUAGCUUGUGAUCUUCCAGUGGCAGACAAGUUUGGGCCAAGAAAUAUGGCAUCAGCAUCCUGUUCCAAAUAUUGUGCAUUUCACAGCCAGAGACCGUGGGAAAACUUCCAAAGACAUCAAGAUGCUGAUCUUGAUGAAGAUCAUAGAUGA
rnacentral:lncRNA from 1 species